rnacentral:rRNA from 1 species
AGAUUGAACGCUGGCGGCAUGCCUUACACAUGCAAGUCGAACGGUAACAGGUUAAGCUGACGAGUGGCGAACGGGUGAGUAAUAUAUCGGAACGUGCCCAGUAGUGGGGGAUAGCCCGGCGAAAGCCGGAUUAAUACCGCAUACGACCUACGGGUGAAAGGGGGGGAUCGCAAGACCUCUCGCUAUUGGAGCGGCCGAUAUCAGAUUAGCUAGUUGGUGGGGUAAAAGCCUACCAAGGCGACGAUCUGUAGCUGGUCUGAGAGGACGACCAGCCACACUGGGACUGAGACACGGCCCAGACUCCUACGGGAGGCAGCAGUGGGGAAUUUUUGGACAAUGGACGCAAGUCUGAUCCAGCCAUGCCGCGUGCGGGAAGAAGGCCUUCGGGUUGUAAACCGCUUUGUCAGGGAAGAAUCCUUUGAAAUAAUACUUCGGAGGGAUGACGGUACCUGAAGAAUAAGCACCGGCUAACUACGUGCCAGCAGCCGC